GCUUCUAGAUGAUCCUAGUAACUAAAUAGUUGCUGAGGGUUUACUGUUUCACUUAUUGAAAAAUUUCACUGGAAUAACCUGAAUUUUGAGUAAGAUGGUCUUAGAAUUGGGAGCAAUUUCUUGUUCUACUUACGCAGGUGUCUAAACAAGAGUGGGUUAUGCUUUUGUCCUGCAAGAUAUACCAGGCAUAUGUACUGCCUCGUGUCCUGGGGCUCUCCAUGGGGGAAGGAAGGGAGAUGCUGGGGGGAUUUGGUGUCACAAGGUAUUGUUGGAGUGUGAUCCUACACUGCUAAACAGAAAGAGGUCGAGGGGCUGGGAGAGGAGCUGUGGCAGGGAAAAGACUGGAAGCUGUGGCAGCAGUGUUUCCUGCACACCAGUUACCCCACCAGAGCUUUACAGCAUCUGAAGGUUUAGGUAAGGAAUAAUAACAGGGAGAACAAAACCUGUGUGAGAAAAGUGAGCAAUAGACAAGGUUUCUCAGCAAUAGAAUACUUGGAAACACUCCCAAUCAACACUGGCUCAGCACAGCCCAAAUCCUGAGCCACAGAGAAGAGACAGCCGGAGAAUCCCGAGCCACUGAGGGCGUUUAAUUCAUUCCUCGCAGGCAGCCGGUGCUCCCGGUGCUCCCGGUGCCGGCUCCGCAGCCGGCUCUCCCCCCGCGCCGAUCGCAGGGCUGCUCCUGCCAUCCAAGUGCAGGGAGCUCAUAGCUGCGGAGUGAUGCAGACAAAGCACGAGUGAGAGGGGAACAGGAGGGAUGGAGUCUCACAAGAUGUGAUCCUCCCCGUGAAAGGAAGCAUCCGUAGCCCCUGCAGCUGUGUUUGUGCUGCUCCACGCCCCAGGCACCAGCCUCUCAUCCCCCCGGGAGAUUCCGACAGCGCUAAUUCACUCUGCACAAAGCCCAGCCCGCAAAGGCUCUUCUCCAGCAGCAGCCUCCGCACCCCUCCAGCUCCCAGACCUGCACCCCGCCGGCUGCCUCCCCUUGGUCUUGAUCCAAUGUCACCUGGACCCGAUGAAGCAGACCCCGAAGUGCCACGGAUGGAUCCCAGGAUUCUUAUUUUCCUCCUCUAUGUGAUGAUCCUUCACGAGCUGGUGAGUGGCUGGAUGGAGUACCAGAAGCAGAUAGCCAAGCCAAAGAAGCAGGCGAGUCCAGUUUGGUCUUCUAGCAACACCACCAGAUCAAACCACUCCAGCUUCUCCAGGCCGCUGGUGCACUCGGUGCGCAGGGAGAGGUACAGGGACUGGAGGAAACCAGGGCGGAUCAUCCGGAAAGCGUGAGGAUGCAUCUGCUGGGAGCGUGGGGAGAGAUGACGGAGCCAGAGGCACCCAUCCCUCACGAGGUCUGCACCCACUUACCACCUCGCAGCAGCAUCCGGCAUGAGACAUCCUCCAGGCACCGUGAUCUGCAACCUGCAGCUUGCUUCUCCUCACUGAGCCUUCGUGUGAUGAGAAGGAACAAGCCCCUUCCUCUUGGGAGUCCAUCCCUGUGUGGUGACGAACAAGGAUGGAAACACCUCAGCCAGCAGCAGGAUCAACAGAGGUGGGACGAGGCUUUUGCCACCCAACGCAGUGAAGUGACUUUUCUUUCUUCUUCCCAAUGGUUGAGUAGAUGGAGAGUAGAUUUCUUGGGGGAAGAAUGAAACUUGCUUCUGCGUGGGCAACCCUGGGAAGCCUCCAAACAGUUUCAGGCUCCUCUCCUCCUGCUCGAGGGCUGUGUGGCUGGUAAGCAGCAUUUCCCAAAGUGACAGGAAGACCUUUGGUGUCCAGUUUGUCACCAUUCCCAAGAGAACUCACACCCAGAAGUCAGGACAGUUUGGAAAUGCUGGCUCCCCAUUAAGUCUUAUGCACUGGGAGUCUGUCCAGUUUUUUCUGCUUUUCUUCACCCUUGUUAAAUGAGUUACUCCAGGGUGGAAGGGGGGGAAGCAUUGAACUGGUGACUCGGAGUUAUGCCACUGAAUGCAAUGCACUGCGAUGACCUUGUAAUUAGCUUUCUUUGGAGCAUUCCCAGCAGUUGAGCCAAAUGUAAGAGCGACUUUCUAAGGAGCAGUUAGAUGGGAAAGGAAUAAAACAUUGCUCUUUUAUUAGAGACUGCUCUUUAGGCAUAAAAUUAGAUUCUAGAGGUGAAAGUCAGUUGUUGUGUUCUGCCACCCCAUGUAGCAGUUGUACACGGGAUGGGAAGCGCUGGGUGCUGACACUGAGUUCUAACAGCAACUGUCUAUGGCAAAACAGCCUUAUUUGCUGAACAUAAUGUUUGGCUCAAGUGCUGCCUGUUUUUCUCGUUGCCAACCAUUUAUAAACCUGACUCAGGCUCACAGACGCAUUAUCCAGAAGUAGGUAGGGAAGGGAGUUGGAAUAGAUGAUGUAUUCAUUAUCCAGAAGUAGCCAACAGAUACAUUUGCACAUUGCAAAUGUGCAUGAUUUCAGCCUUCUAAUACCUAAAGGGGCUCCAGGAAACCUGGAGAGGGGCUUUGGACAAGGGCCUGUAGGGACGGGACAAGGGGAAUGGCUUUAACCUGCCAGAGGGGAGAUUGAGAUGAGCUCUUAGGCAGAAGCUCUUCCCUGUGAGGGUGCUGAGGUGCUGGCACAGGGUGCCCAGAGAAGCUGUGGCUGCCCCAUCCCUGGCAGUGUUCAAGGCCAGGUUGGACACAGGGGCUUGGAGCAACCUGCUCUAGUGGAAGGUGUCCCUGCCUGUGGCAGGGGUUUGGGACUGGAGGAGCUUUAAGGUCCCGUCCAACCCAAACCAGUCUGGGAUUUGUCUGCUGCUCAGUUGUUUGCAAAUUGUUCCUGUUGGUUGACGCAGUGUUGUGUCACCCAUGGCAGGAGUGACCCUCUGCACUGAAUUAGGCAUCCAGACCCCUGUGAGUACAGAGGGCACGUGAGGGGCUGCGAGCUGUCUCCUCCAAAGAUAAACAUCAAACGGAAGCUGGCUGAACCAUGCUCUUGAGAUGCCCAAUCCUCUACCCUAGGCAGGCUGGGUAAGUAGCUCAGAUGCAGACCUCUACUCUUAGGGGAAAUGAAGCUUUUGUCUUGGGAGAUGGAGUUCAUGCCUUGUGUUUGGAUGUUUUGGGAAACAGAGGUAGGAGCAGCAGUUAACACUUUCUGCGCAUUCCAUAGCAUAUACCUUCUGCAAAGAUGUGCUUCAGCUCUGUGACACUGUGGCUAUUUCCCAAGGCAUCCACUGCCUACCCCAGUACAUGCAGGUACCUCCACCAGUAACCGAGCAGCAAAUGGAGAAGGUGUCAGGAGGGAAACUAUUCAGAAGGUUUUUCUGGGUGAUGGGACUUUGUCUUCCUGGAGUUGAGUCUGCCCUGGUCCUAUAGGGGAUGUGGAGCUGGAUGUUCUCCCUUCUCUCUCUGCUGGAGUGUGUUUAAAUUAACUACUGAAGUGGUGCAGGGCACGACUGUCCUCACUGCACAAGCUGGGCUCCCAGCCUCAAUGGGACAGAUGGGCCUGAAUGAGGACAGUUUGACCUGAACAGGGCAGGCAGAUGUCCUGGCUGCUGCACCCUUAGGGAAUGAGGGGACAGGGAUGCCUUGCUCUGCUGAUCACAUGCUGGAUUUAUCCCUGUAAAUAUCAUCAUGUUUACUUCCAAUAAACUCUUUUACAUA